rnacentral:rRNA from 1 species
CCUACGGGAGGCUGCAGUGGGGAAUUUUGGACAAUGGGGGCAACCCUGAACGAGCAACGCCGCGUGCAGGAAGAAGGUUUUCGGAUCGUAAACUGCUUUUCUUGGGGAAGAGAACGGACGGUACCCAAGGAAUAAGCCCCGGCUAACUACGUGCCAGCAGCCGCGGUAAUACGUAGGGGGCAAGCGUUGUCCGGAUUUAUUGGGCGUAAAGCGCACGCAGGCGGUCUCUUAAGUUUCGAGUGACAGGUGAGGGCUUAACCCUUGCAGGCCUUGGAAAACUGGGAGACUUGAGGACGAGAGAGGGACGCGGAAUUCCAGGUGGAGCGGUGAAAUGCGUAGAGAUCUGGAAGAACACCAAAGGCGAAGGCAGCGUCCUGGCUCGUAUCUGACGCUCAUGUGCGAAAGCUAGGGGAGCGAACGGGAUUAGAUACCCUAGUAGU